rnacentral:misc_RNA from 1 species
GAAAGGCGAAACGUAAUGUGAAUCGCAACUAACAGUGAAUCAUCGAAUUUUUGAACGCAGGCCGCGCCUUCUUAUCAUAUACAUAUAUGGUAUCGGAAGGCACCCACAUUUGAGUGUCAGCCAAACAUCUUUUUGGUUCAUGAGGGAAUACAUAUGCAAGCUAUACUUUAUAGUAUGUGCCAUUUUAUGUAUAUAACUUAUGGAUACACACUUGUUGUAAAACACAUAUCACUUGACAUGUUUGAAACAAGGUCUGGCCUCAAACGUGAGAGAUUACCCGCUGGAUUUAA